UUUAUAUACAAUAAAUAUAUGGAGAACUCUUAAUUUCCAUUUUCCUGUAUAUUUCAAAGGCAAAGAGACAACAUUACCAGAAGUUAAUAAUCAUAACAAAUUGUGCAAAUACCUAUGACCCUACCAGACAGAGGAACUGGCAUCUACACCUGAUCAGUAUCCCAAACUGCACCUUGUUGCUGUUGCUGUUUUGUCUGUAGACUAAUGGUGCUAGAAAUUAUGAAUAUUUUCAUCUUGUAUAGGAGUGAAAGGAGCUUCUCCAAGGAUUGAGUUUAACUUGCUCCAUUGAGGAUGAAAAUUCCAGACACAAGGAAGCUAAGUCUAUGGUGACUGCCCUCUGCAGCAUAGCAGAACAUAGGAGAUGCAAACAGACCAAGGACAAACACCUUUGGGAAGAAUUUCCACCUGCCAGUGUGGCAAAACUCCGGAGAGGACAAGGAUAGGCAUUUAUCAUCAUCUUUCCAGAGAAUGCUACAGGAAGCAAUUACUACCACGUUUACAGCCCAUUCAGGAGGGAAUCCUGCACCACAAUCUGGCUGUUUACGUGCUAAGCAAGGAUUUCUACAAAGACUAAACAAGGAGUGAAAGGAGCUUCUCCAAGGAUUGAGUUUAACUUGCUCCAUUGAGGAUGAAAUUUCCAGACACAAGGAAGCUAAGUCUAUGGUGACUGCCCUCUGCAGCAUAGCAGAACAUAGGAGAUGCAAACAGACCAAGGACAAACACCUUUGGGAAGAAUUUCCACCUGCCAGUGUGGCAAAACUCCGGAGAGGACAAGGAUAGGCAUUUAUCAUCAUCUUUCCAGAGAAUGCUACAGGAAGCAAUUACUACCACGUUUACAGCCCAUUCAGGAGGGAAUCCUGCACCACAAUCUGGCUGUUUACGUGCUAAGCAAGGAUUUCUACAAAGACUAAACAAGGUAAUAACAUGAAGACAAAAAUUAAACCUGG